UCCUGAAGCUCUUGGUGCUCUCGAGCCAUAUCUUGCGCUAGUUUUACGGUUACAUCUUUACAUCAUCAUCAUGGAAAGUUUGGGAAAUAUGGCCGCGCGCACACAGGGCAGAUUUGGCGGCUGAAAGCUUCAGCGCGGUUCUAGUAGUGGCAGAGUGGCUUCGAGUGUUUACUUUUCACUUCGAGCUAUUUGAAAUGAGUGCACCAGCAUUGUACAGGUACAGGACAACAAAACAAUUUUGUGAAGAACGCAGAACAGGACCUGAAGGAGCAAGACACAGGCCGCAUGCUCGAGUGAGAGAAACAGGGAUUCAUCUACGGAAAAUAGAAAAAGAAGUCCUCGCAAUAUUUCGUCGGGAACUUCUCACCGGCACCUCUUCUGUCUGAACGUAGCUGACCCUCUGACAAACGGACCCAAUUUUCCCUUUCCAAUUUACGUGGGAUGACGACAGCACUGCGCAUUAAAGAAGAGGCAAGAGAUUCUUGUGACUUCGAGUCAUCACAUGCCAGGCCCUUUGGAAUCACAACUCCAAGAAAAUGCAGUUCUCUCUGGAGUUCCGCAAUCAGCCCGUGAGAGUGAAAUCGGAACCACCUGAUGUUGCAUGCCUGCCACAACAGGGCCAGGUACAUCAGCAGCACUGCAGCGAACAUCCUUCAGGAGGCGAUGC